rnacentral:rRNA from 1 species
UACAGAGACUGCAAGCGUUAUUCGGAUUCACUGGGCGUAAAGGGUGCGCAGGCGGUUGUUUGUGUCAGGCGUGAAAGCCCGGGGCUUAACCCCGGAAUUGCGCCUGAAACUACAUGACUAGAGCAUUGGAGAGGGUAGCGGAAUUCACGGUGUAGCAGUGAAAUGCGUAGAUAUCGUGAGGAACACCAGAGGCGAAGGCGGCUACCUGGACAAUUGCUGACGCUCAGGCACGAAAGCGUGGGGAGCAAAAGGG